rnacentral:rRNA from 1 species
CCUACGGGAGGCAGCAGUGAGGAAUAUUGGUCAAUGGGCGCGAGCCUGAACCAGCCAAGUAGCGUGAAGGAUGACUGCCCUAUGGGUUGUAAACUUCUUUUAUAAGGGAAUAAAGUGCGGCACGUGUGCCGUUUUGUAUGUACCUUAUGAAUAAGGAUCGGCUAACUCCGUGCCAGCAGCCGCGGUAAUACGGAGGAUCCGAGCGUUAUCCGGAUUUAUUGGGUUUAAAGGGAGCGUAGGCGGAUGGUUAAGUCAGUUGUGAAAGUUUGCGGCUCAACCGUAAAAUUGCAGUUGAUACUGGCAGUCUUGAGUGCAGUUGAGGUAGGCGGAAUUCGUGGUGUAGCGGUGAAAUGCUUAGAUAUCACGAAGAACUCCGAUUGCGAAGGCAGCUUACUAAACUGCCACUGACGUUGAGGCUCGAAAGUGUGGGUAUCAAACAGGAUUAGAUACCCCGGUAGUC